AGCAGCCGCGGUAAUUCCAGCUCCAAUAGCGUAUAUUAAAGUUGUUGCAGUUAAAAAGCUCGUAGUUGAAUUUCGGGAUUAGUAAGUUGGUCGUGCCUCCGGUAUGUACUGGCUCUACUGGUUCCUCCUUCUUGAAGAACUGUAAUGUCAUUAAUUUGGUGUUGCAGGGAAACAGGACUGUUACUUUGAAAAAAUUAGAGUGUUUAAAGCAGGCUAACGCUUGAAUACAUUAGCAUGGAAUAAUGAAAUAGGACGUUUGAUCCUAUUUUGUUGGUUUCUAGGAUUGACGUAAUGAUUAAUAGGGAUAGUUGGGGGCAUUAGUAUUCAAUUGUCAGAGGUGAAAUUCUUGGAUUUAUUGAAGACUAACUACUGCGAAAGCAUUUGCCAAGGAUGUUUUCAUUAAUCAAGAACGAAAGUUAGGGGAUCGAAGACGAUCAGAUACCGUCGUAGUCUUAACCAUAAACUAUGCCGACUAGGGAUCGGAUGAUGUUAAUUUUUUAAUGACUCAUUCGGCGCCUUA
rnacentral:rRNA from 1 species